UACGUAGGUGGCAAGCGUUGUCCGGAAUUAUUGGGCGUAAAGGGCGCGUAGGCGGUCCCUUAAGUCAGAUGUGAAAUCCCGAGGCUUAACCUCGGGCGUGCAUUUGAAACUGGGGGACUAGAGUGCAGGAGAGGUAAGUGGAAUUCCUAGUGUAGCGGUGAAAUGCGUAGAUAUUAGGAGGAACACCAGUGGCGAAGGCGACUUACUGGACUGUAACUGACGCUGAGUCACGAAAGCGUGGGUAGCAAACAGG
rnacentral:rRNA from 1 species